GAUGAACGCUGGCGGCGUGCCUAAUACAUGCAAGUCGAGCGAACAGAUAAGGAGCUUGCUCCUUUGACGUUAGCGGCGGACGGGUGAGUGACACGUGGGUAACCUACCUAUAAGACUGGGAUAACUUCGGGAAACCGGAGCUAAUACCGGAUAACAUUUGGAACCGCAUGGUUCUAAAGUGAAAGAUGGUUUUGCUAUCACUUAUAGAUGGACCCGCGCCGUAUUAGCUAGUUGGUAAGGUAACGGCUUACCAAGGCACGAUACGUAGCCGACCUGAGAGGGUGAUCGGCCACACUGGAACUGAGACACGGUCCAGACUCCUACGGGAGGCAGCAGUAGGGAAUCUUCCGCAAUGGGCGAAAGCCUGACGGAGCAACGCCGCGUGAGUGAUGAAGGGUUUCGGCUCGUAAAACUCUGUUAUUAGGGAAGAACAAAUGUGUAAGUAACUGUGCACGUCUUGACGGUACCUAAUCAGAAAGCCACGGCUAACUACGUG
rnacentral:rRNA from 1 species